rnacentral:rRNA from 1 species
CUACGGGCCGCUCCAGUGAGGAAUAUUGCACAAUGGGGGGAACCCUGAUGCAGCAACGCCGCGUGGAGGAUGACGCAUUUCGGUGUGUAAACUCCUUUUAUAUGUCAAGAAAAUGACGGUAGCAUAUGAAUAAGCACCGGCUAACUCCGUGCCAGCAGCCGCGGUAAUACGGCGGGUGCAAGCGUUACUCGGAAUCACUGGGCGUAAAGGACGCGUAGGCGGGUUGGAAAGUCGGGUGUGAAAUCCUACAGCUUAACUGUAGAACUGCACUUGAAACUUCUAAUCUAGAGUAUGGGAGGGGGAGAUGGAAUUAGUGGUGUAGGGGUAAAAUCCGUAGAUAUCACUAGGAAUACCUAAAGCGAAGGCGAUCUCCUGGAACAUUACUGACGCUAAGGCGUGAAAGCGUGGGGAGCAAACAGGAUUAGAUACCCCAGUAGUC